GAUGAACGCUGGCGGCGUGCCUAAUACAAGCAAGUCGAGCGAACGGACGAGAAGCUUGCUUUUCUGAUGUUAGCGGCGGACGGGUGAGUAACACGUGGAUAACCUACCUAUAAGACUGGGAUAACUUCGGGAAACCGGAGCUAAUACCGGAUAAUAUUUUGAACCGCAUGGUUCAAAAGUGAAAGACGGUCUUGCUGUCACUUAUAGAUGGAUCCGCGCUGCAUUAGCUAGUUGGUAAGGUAACGGCUUACCAAGGCAACGAUGCAUAGCCGACCUGAGAGGGUGAUCGGCCACACUGGAACUGAGACACGGUCCAGACUCCUACGGGAGGCAGCAGUAGGGAAUCUUCCGCAAUGGGCGAAAGCCUGACGGAGCAACGCCGCGUGAGUGAUGAAGGUCUUCGGAUCGUAAAACUCUGUUAUUAGGGAAGAACAUAUGUGUAAGUAACUGUGCACAUCUUGACGGUACCUAAUCAGAAAGCCACGGCUAACUACGUG
rnacentral:rRNA from 1 species